rnacentral:rRNA from 1 species
CUCGCGAGAGCAAGCGGACCUCAUAAAGUAUGUCGUAGUCCGGAUUGGAGUCUGCAACUCGACUCCAUGAAGUCGGAAUCGCUAGUAAUCGUAGAUCAGAAUGCUACGGUGAAUACGUUCCCGGGCCUUGUACACACCGCCCGUCACACCAUGGGAGUGGGUUGCAAAAGAAGUAGGUAGCUUAACCUUCGGGAGGGCGCUUACCACUUUGUGAUUCAUGACUGGGGUGAAGUCGUAACAAGGUAACCG